AAAACACCAUUUUGAAGGUGUUGGUCGUACAGAAGAAGAGCAGGGGCGACUCCCCACUCUCAAACCCUAAAAACUCACUAAACUUGCAAAUUGAAGGCUCAAUCCAAGUCGAAAUCGAAAUUAAAGUGUAGAUUAUUGAUCCUCAUCACAAGAGGAUUACAAGUUUGACGCUUGACAAGCUAGGUGAAGGCUUGGAAAGGAAGCGGGUCAAACGAAGCAAAUAAGAAGGAAAAGCGUACUUCGGAUGCGAGGUAAGUAAAACUUACACCCACUUGUAGUAUAUGUGUUUAUUUCAUAAUGAUGAAUACAAUAAAGGAUUUGGUUUGAAUCAUGGGUUCCGACCCAAAACGAAAUGAGUCGGAACCAACAAAAAAAAUGUUUUAAACCAUGAUAAAUGGUGAAAAAGGCAAAAUGGUAAAUUAGUCACGAAUUGGUUAAGAAUUAGUGAGUUUUUCUUAAAGUUACCUUAUAGCGUAACUAGUAAUGGAAAAUGGGUAAAAAUGGGAAUUUAGUCAAGUAUCGACUAAAGUAAAAUAAGUUUCAAAGGACACCCAUAGCGUGAGCCGAAUGGGUUUAAAAAAAAUAAUAUAUAUAUAUAUAUAUAUAUAUAUAUAUAUAUAUAAGAAAUUGACUUUAGAAAGAAAGGGAUCUAGUGAGAAAAUCCGAAAUGGGUCGGAUAUGCGAUUGGUAAUUAAAAACCCAUGUUUUGUUACAUAUGAAAAUGUUGGGUUAUAUAGGUCGAACGGGUCAAAUUGUGGGAAUAACGCCAUUUGACAAUAUCAACUAAUGUGGUUGUCAAGUCAUGUGUUUUCAGGGGCGAAUAGUAAUUUGGGUAAUUGCGUCGCCAUAAGAAUAUCGAUAAUAAAAGCAAGGAGUCGAAACGGGUCAUUAGGUUGACUCGAGCCAGGUAUGUAUAAAUAAGAUUGUGGUUAAACAUAUAUUUUUUUGGGUCAAAUUAGUAGCAAAUGCCCUUCGUCGUAAAUGAGGGGCUAAAGUCGACUAAAAUACCCUUGAUGGGUAAAUCGGGCAAACGACCUUUAAAGGUUGUUGGAAAUAAGUGAUUUGAUAGAUUAAAUUCUUAGGAUAAGUAUAAAAGGGAUGAUAUGGGAUCUUAGUGCAUAAAUACCCUUAACGGGUCAAAAUAGAAGUAAUAGCGAAACGGGUUAAAAAUGUGUAGUAACCCGUAAAUUGAACCUUGUACAAUAGGAAAUAACCAUAAUAAAAUGUUUACAAAAGAAACAAAGGCCACGAACGAGUUUGUUAGAGGAAACCGUGAACGGGUCAAAAGUGUCGUAAUUGGACUUCAAGCCGAGAGCUUGAAGUAUAAAAUUUCGUGAAGUGAGAUGUUAGAUUUUAACUCCAUUCGAUGGAGAAUUAAAUUACGAGUGCGUAGGAGAAAGAAUCGCGUAAAACGGACAAGCGGAUUGAAAGAUACGAAAGUUUUGUGUCAAAUAGCGGCAAAAAAUGGAAAGGUUGGAUGCAGGUGCCACCGUAACUUACGGUGCCACCGUAAGUUAUGGUGGAGCUGAAUUGGUUACGGUGCUAGCCUACUGAUGUACGGUAGGGAAAUGUUAACACAGGGGCCACCGUAACUUACGGUGUCACCGUAAGUUACGGUGGAGGCCAGAAAUGAGUUAUUGUGUUGGGAUCAAGAUAUAAAUGUUGGAUUUUCCUAAUUUCCUCGUUGUAUUAGUUAUUUAAUUAUCAAAACUGACCUUUAAGUUGGUUUUGAUCACAGGUGAAUGUCGAGAGUCCCGGAUGAAGAUCAAGCAUCGAGCAAGAACCGAACACACGUUAAACAAAGCUUCCGCAACGUUGUUUUGUCGUUAUUCUAAACGGCGAAUUAAAUCACAUUAUGUAUAUCACUUAAAUUGUAAAAGUUUUUAACAACCCGUAUUUCCGAUGUAUAUGUAAUCAUUAAUUACAUGAUUAUUUUGCUAAAUAUACGUUAAACCUUGAUUUAUAAGAACGGGUGUUACAAUUCGCGGUCAGGUGGCGCGAGAUUUAGGACCAUACCCCUUCAUCCGGUUACGUUUUACAUCCAUUCAUGGGUCGAUAACUAAUAUAUGAUUAUUAAUGACGAACAGUGAUGGCUACCCCUUUGUGAUAGCUCUACGAUGAUGGUCACCGGUGACAGAGACAACCUCCCUCCAGCUGCGGGGUUAGAAGGAGGAGUGAUGGUGGUUCGUUGGACAGGUUGGUCACGAACAUACGAUGAUUAAUAAUGAUUGCAGCAGUGGGUGUUGAUGAGAGUAGAAGGUGAUCGGUCAACAGAGUAGCUCUGGUUCAUCCGGCCAUACGAUGGGACUCUUAGAUAGCUUAUACUAACUAAAAUGCUAGGCCUCAUCUCUCUCGAUCUUAAAUUGCGCUUCGAUUUAAAGGCAUAUAGCAGGAAUUGGUAUGCAGAUCAGGGGCUUUCAUGAAAGUUCACAUUGUUGUGAAUCCGCGUGUUCAUUUGGUAUGCAACUGCCUCCAUUUUUCUCUGUCGAUGACAUGAUUUAACCCUCUUAAUCACUAUAUUACUUGCUACUUAACAAUAUGGAAGUGUAUGGUGUAACUAAUUUGAUGCCAAGAAGGAAUGUGAAGGCAACCUAGGGGCACGAUAUUCAAUGGCAAGGUUCAAAGGAGAACAAAUUGUUGAAUCUGGAUGACAGAAUCAAAUGCGUUAAGGUGCGUCAGCGCACGUAUGCUUGCUAGCAUGCUGGAGGUUGUUCGUUCUGCUUUCGUCAAUCGUAUUGCAUAUAAAUGUUCGUAUCAGCGGCAUUGCUCACAUAAAAUAGGUCCGUACCAACGGCUACUCAUACGCAUGGCAUCACUCCCGUUGUAUAGGAAACGAGGGCUGUUGCAACAGAUAUGACAGUCAUGUCAACAUUAUGCAAGGGUCUUUGAUAUUUUAAGAGACUUUAUACUCAAUUCAUUGCUACUUUUUAUCACAUUUGUAAUUAUAUAUCUAAAAAGUUAAUUUCAUAGAAUGAUUUGGUUUAGCGGCGCGCGCCGCAACGCGCGCAUGGUUAAA